GCGUCAGUCGGUUGGUCGUGCCACCGGUACGUACUGGUCUCACUGAUUCCUCCUUCCUGAAGAACCGUAAUGCCAUUAAUUUGGUGUUGCGGGGAAACAGGACUGUUACUUUGAAAAAAUUAGAGUGUUUAAAGCAAGCUAACGCUUGAAUACAUUAGCAUGGAAUAAUGAAAUAGGACGAUCGAUCCUAUUUUGUUGGUUUCUAGGAUUGACGUA
rnacentral:rRNA from 1 species